rnacentral:rRNA from 1 species
UACGGAGGGGGCUAGCGUUGUUCGGAAUUACUGGGCGUAAAGCGCACGUAGGUGGCUUUGUAAGUUAGAGGUGAAAGCCCGGGGCUCAACUCCGGAAUUGCCUUUAAGACUGCAUCGCUAGAACGUCGGAGAGGUAAGUGGAAUUCCGAGUGUAGAGGUGAAAUUCGUAGAUAUUCGGAAGAAACACCAGUGGCGAAGGGCGACUACCUGGCCUGUUCUUGACGCUGAGG